AGCUUUGCACAGUGGCAGUAUCGUAGCAAAUGAGGUUUAGCCAGGGCGCGAUUAUUGCUAAUUGAAAACUUUUCCCAAUACCCUGCCAUGACGACUUGAAAUAUAGUCGGCGUUGGCAAUUUUUGGCAGUCUGUAUGGAGA
rnacentral:snRNA from 1 species